rfam:Schistosoma mansoni, Puerto Rico, WGS project CABG01000000 data, contig: 0208
AUCCAGCUGACGAGUCGCAAGUAGGACGAAACGCGCGUUCAACUGGAU